GGUGAGCUUUGGUGAAGCAAACAACCUUACAUGAUGUGAGUGGUCCUUGUGCCCAGUUGAAGCCGAUAUUGACGGAUGUCCUUACUGGUAAGGCUGUCUGGGACUCUCAGUGAAAAGACCGGCCAUGUGUGCCUCCAGAUGGUACUAGAUCCAGGUGCUAGAACAAGAUGAGCAAGUGAAUCUCUCAUACUUCAGAUCCUUCAAGGAUCUUGAAAAGAGCGCUGGAAUCAAAGGCGAACGCCACCACUGCCCGGCCUUGUUUUGUUUUUAAAGACAGUUUUCGGCACACAGAGAGGCUGUGAGUUAGGACGGGGGUUUCUUGCCGUUGCCACCAUUCUCAUUGACACGUUAUGCUGCACACAGCAGAGCCCCAUCCUGAAUGCCCAGCGGUGCCCACAGCCAGGAGGAGCAUUCGAUGUGUGAUGACUCAUCUCGUGCAUCAGACGCUCUCUAAAGUUCCCACAGAUUAUACCAUGGCUUAGUGAGUGCGAUUCUAAGACAGUUCCAAAAGACUUUUCAAUCCGUGGGAGUUUCAAAGUGGAUUCUCAGACAAACAUGGGGAGGACUGAGGCAGGCUUGGACACGCACAGAAUCAGACAACGAUGGUCCGGAGUUCAAAUCCCUGCAACCACAUGGUGGCUCACAACCAACUGUAAUGAGAUCUGGCGCCCUCUUCUGGAGUGUCUGAAGACAGAUACAGUGUACUUACAUAUAGUAAAUAAAUAAAUCUUAAAAAAAAAAAAAA
rnacentral:lncRNA from 1 species